UGACCUCGGAUCAGGUAGGAGUUACCCGCUGAACUUAAGCAUAUCAAUAAGCGGAGGAAAAGAAACCAACCGGGAUUGCCUCAGUAACGGCGAGUGAAGCGGCAAGAGCUCAAAUUUGAAAUCUGGCCCCUUUGGGGUCCGAGUUGUAAUUUGCAGAGGAUGCUUCGGGUGCGGUCCCCAUCUAAGUGCCCUGGAACGGGCCGUCAUAGAGGGUGAGAAUCCCGUCUGGGAUGGGCGGCCGCGCCCGUGUGAAGCUCCUUCGACGAGUCGAGUUGUUUGGGAAUGCAGCUCUAAGCGGGUGGUAAAUUUCAUCUAAAGCUAAAUACUGGCCGGAGACCGAUAGCGCACAAGUAGAGUGAUCGAAAGAUGAAAAGCACUUUGAAAAGAGAGUUAAACAGCACGUGAAAUUGUUGAAAGGGAAGCGUUGUCCACCAGACUCGCCCGGGGGGGCUCAGCCGGCACGUGUGCCGGUGUACUCCUCUCCGGGCGGGCCAGCAUCGGUUUGGGCGGCUGGUGAAAGGCCCCGGGAAUGUAACACCCUCCGGGGUGCCUUAUAGCCCGGGGUGCCAUGCAGCCAGCCUGGACGAGGCCCGCGCUUCGGCGAGGAUG
rnacentral:ncRNA from 1 species